AGUGAACGCUGGCGGUAGGCCUAACACACGCAAGUCGAACGGCAGCACAGGGGAGCUUGCUCUCUGGGUGGCGAGUGGCGGACGGGUGAGGAAUACAUCGGAAUCUACUCUGUCGUGGGGGAUAACGUAGGGAAACUUACGCUAAUACCGCAUACGACCUACGGGUGAAAGCAGGGGACCUUCGGGCCUUGCGCGAUGGAAUGAGCCGAUGUCGGAUUAGCUAGUUGGCGGGGUAAAGGCCCACCAAGGCGACGAUCCGUAGCUGGUCUGAGAGGAUGAUCAGCCACACUGGAACUGAGACACGGUCCAGACUCCUACGGGAGGCAGCAGUGGGGAAUAUUGGACAAUGGGCGCAAGCCUGAUCCAGCCAUACCGCGUGGGUGAAGAAGGCCUUCGGGUUGUAAAGCCCUUUUGUUGGGAAAGAAAUCCAGCUGGCUAAUACCCGGUUGGGAUGACGGUACCCAAAGAAUAAGCACCGGCUAACUUCGUGCCAGCCGCCGCAGUAA
rnacentral:rRNA from 1 species